CCCUAACAAUAUGACAAUCAGUUUGCCGCAGUAAGAACCUUUCUUUUACGAUCUAUGGUUAGAACACAGCAUGAAGUUACAAACUCGUGUACAGUAGGUGGCGGUAUGCACCUAAAAGUUGGUUGCAAUCAGACAAUAAUCAAGAGAAGAAGAAGAAGAUUGCCGAAGUAGAAGUUACUCAGCCCACAGUUUGCUUGCUAGCAAAGUCAUCGACUACCGUCGUAUAACAAGCUUUAUGGAAAAGAACGUGACAUACAACAUGCCUGGAUUGGUUUGGUGCACCUCCUCAGACAAGAAGCCAAAAAGUAUGGUGUCCUUGAUAACAUAUCAUGCUUCCCAUUUGAAAACUUCCUUGGCAUGGGUGUCUUAAUAAACAAUAGACAGUCAUCGCUCCGCUCAGUUAUUGGCCCUUGGACUCCCCUGUCACCUCUUGUACAGCAUGAGGUUUUCUGCUAUGAAGAUUUACAGAGACUCCAGAACGAAAAACAAACCCUAAGGGAAAGCAAUGCACCAGCAGAUGACAGCAGCUCACUUCAAGAGCAGGUGAAGCAAGUUGGGAUAAUGUUGAAGAUGUUUGCUCACACUGGGCAAUCAGGUGCAGACGUCUUGGAGAGUUUGGGCGAUGUUGUUCGCAGCAUGGACAACAAAAUGGACUAUGCUGCAUCAUUUUGAGUUAUCCCUACCAGGGGAUCUGUUACUCCCACUAGACACCCAGGAAGAUUUGGCGUUACUUGACAACAGUAUGAGGCAGGAUAAAGAGCUCCAUGUACAAUUUGGACCUAAAGACAACUGUGUGGCGAAUGCUUCAGAGUAUCUUCUCUAAUCACCUUUCCAUCAAUAUAACCUGGUCUGUUGUAGGUGAUAAAGCAUGUUUUAGAGACAUGUUCCUGAAGACCAUUGUUCAAAGAGCCAUCCGAAAGAACCCGGCGACCCAGGAUGCCACUGAUGAGGCGAUCCAGGUUAACGUUACACAUCACCUGAAAGGAGCAUCUGACCGUGCAGGUGGAAAAAGGCACCGCUCAGCCGACCCCUUAAACCUAGGCUGACUACUGACACCCCAGCAUCACUUGACAACUGGAACCCUUUCUUUAUCCUGCAGACAGUAACUUCAAGACAUCUAAAAAAGGCUUGUUACAGUGCUUAACUCUUCUAUUUAAAUACAGCUUGUAAAUCCUAGAAUAUACAUCUAAUAUUUGAUUUCUGCACAUUAUCUGGUAUCAAAUAUUCCACUUGCUGUGACUUUAGUAUUGGCUUAUUUCAUUUCGUCAGUGCUUAACGAUUAUACAUGCUCUAUGCACGAACCCUGCUGACGUAUGUCCAAAAGAAUCUCAGCCAGCAUCUUUACUUCCACAAGCGCAUUCUGCAGGCAAUGUAUAUAGCGGCAAAACUUUAACAAAAUUCAUUUUCUUUCACUUUUCAAUUCCUCACAGUGUUGUUAACAUCAUUAUCGUUAACCGCAAGAAUUUUUCGUAAACAGUGAGUGUAACUUACCACUAUCUCCACCUAAUGCAAAACCGGCUUCUGGCGCAGCACCGGAUGUAACUGGGCGUCCUGAGACAAAGCCGGAAGUGAUCGUGCAUAGAGCCUAUUAUAGUUUGCAAAUCCCGUUUCAUGCCUGAUAUUUGAUAUUGCACAUUAACUAGUACCAAAAAUUCUACUUUCAUUCCAUCAGUGUGCUUAACUGUUAUUCUAUUAAAAAUAGCUUGGAAUACUAUUUCAUACCUCUGAUACUUGAAAUUGCACAUUACCUGGUACUAAAUAUUCUACUUCAUUCUGUCACAGUGCUUAACUGUUAUUCUAUAGUUAAAUAUAGCUUGUAAAUCCUUGUGCCACAGGUCAGCAUUGCAGUUAUAAUGGUAUAUUCUCAAAUUAUUUGGUGUCCUUAACUUUCUUUGGUACCAAAUAUCCUCAUUACUUGUGUUUACUGGUAAUUCUUUUCAUCCCAGAGCUGAACUCUUUAUGUUAUUAGCAAGUAUUGUAAGUGUUAUACAGUGUUAUAUAGUUUUAUAUAUACAAAUAGUGUUUUUUAACUAAAAAUGUAUUGGAAAGCUGUGUGUGUUUGUAUUUUUCUGUUAUAUUUCAGCGAUCUGACAUUGUUUAAUGACAGUUACUGUACUUUCAAAUGUGGAAAUAAAAUGUCAAAUGAAAAUUUG